CCGCCUGCAGUUCAGUCAUAGCAGACAUCUGCAGAGCUGGAGAGGUCCAGCUGGACGCCCCAGAGUUAGAGUUAGUGCGUGGUGGUGAAAACUUAAUCUUCGAUACACAGGCACAGAGACGUAAUGUCUGUAAAGCAUAAUAACUAAUGAAUACAAAGGCAGACAGAGAUGACAGAUAUCUUUAAGCCUCAUCUCCUAUUUAGUAGAAUGGGGCCCAACCUGACUCUGAUGCUUGGAUGUCUUAAACAAAAAUGGAGGGGUCGGAUGGCAGCAGUUGAAAACAGGACGUAGAGCCAAAGAUGUAUUUUCACAUCUAAGGAUCCUCGUCAGACGCAAUCUGAGCCCUUCAAAUGCACCGUGAUGGCGUGCUACCUCUCCUCCAUCGGUCCAGCCGCUGGCCAGAGUGUCUGCAAGAGAAACACAGUGACCAGUUGUCUUGACCGCUGCUGUGGCCUGCUGGGUAAUCUGUACGCCUGUGAGGGGAAGCCUGGGAAGGUGAUCAGCCUCACCUGAGGAUGAAUGGUGGGCCUUUUUAAAAAAUGAUGUCAUCUCCUCUACUGUAAUGUACAACGCGUGAUUGCAUAAGCAUUCACCCCCUUUUUAAAUUAACUGACCUAAUUCAACAGAUGUCCGGCCAUUUGGCGCUGGCAGCCUCACAAUUAGCGUAAUUGAGAUCACCCGAGUACAGUGAAUGUGUCUCAAUGGACUGUCAUAUUAAGACACCUGUGUCUGAAGGUCCGGUCAGUGGUUCGUCAGCACUCCUGGCUACAAUCGCACUGUGAAGACAGAAUAACGCUCCAGGCAACUCCACGAAAAGGCGAUUGAAAAGUAUAAAUCAGGGUUUGGGUACAAAAACAUUUCCAAGUCACUGAACAUCGCCCAGAGUUCGGUUAGGCGGGCCGUCCUCAGCGAGGGGGGCCACCAAGACAACUGUGACUACCCCUGGAGGGGGUUUAAUGCUGCAGCAGCUGAGAUGAGGAAGACGCCGAAGAAAGCUCAUUAAACUCGAGUUCACCCGAAGGCAGGCGGGAGACUCCAAGGUCAACUGUGGGACGCUUUCUGGUCCAACGAGAGCCAGAGUGAGCUUUUUGGCCAUCAGACCAGAUGCUCGGAGCCCCCAUGCUUGUGUCCAUUGAUGUUGCGCCAGAAGAUGGCAGCAUCCUCAAACCUCACUGCAGUCUGACUCACACUGAGCAGAGACAAUAAGGCCUUUGCUUUGCUUUCUGGUUGAUGCUUUCUGGUUGAUGCUUGGUGACGAUGUCACUCCAUAAUUAUACUUUUGCCCAUAAUCCAUCCAAAGACGUGUAGUAAAUGUGUGAGCGUAGCUUUAUGAAAGGGGGGUUUCCCCUCAGGACGCCCCCCCCCAUCCUGUCCUAAACCCUGUUGUUGUGGUCAGCA